rnacentral:rRNA from 1 species
GAUGAACGCUGGCGGCGUGCCUAAUACAUGCAAGUCGAGCGAACAGACGAGGAGCUUGCUCCACUGACGUUAGCGGCGGACGGGUGAGUAACACGUGGAUAACCUACCUAUAAGACUGGGAUAACUUCGGGAAACCGGAGCUAAUACCGGAUAAUAUAUUGAACCGCAUGGUUCAAUAGUGAAAGACGGGUUUGCUGUCACUUAUAGAUGGAUCCGCGCCGCAUUAGCUAGUUGGUAAGGUAACGGCUUACCAAGGCAACGAUGCGUAGCCGACCUGAGAGGGUGAUCGGCCACACUGGAACUGAGACACGGUCCAGACUCCGACGGGAGGCAGCAGUAGCUAAUCUUCCGCAAUGGGCGAAAGCCUGACGGAGCAACGCCGCGUGAGUGAUGAAGGUCUUCGGAUCGUAAAACUCUGUUAUUAGGGAAGAACAAAUGUGUAAGUAACUAUGCACGUCUUGACGGUACCUAAUCAGAAAGCCACGGCUAACUACGUG